rnacentral:sRNA from 12 species
UGGGCUGGUCGAAAGGCCCUGGUCCACCGAAAGGCGGGGAAUUUCCCC